rnacentral:rRNA from 1 species
ACGGGUGAGUAAUGCAUCGGGACCUACCCAGACGUGGGGGAUAACGUAGGGAAACUUACGCUAAUACCGCAUACGUCCUACGGGAGAAAGCGGGGGACCUUCGGGCCUCGCGCGGUUGGACGGACCGAUGUGCGAUUAGCUAGUUGGUAGGGUAAUGGCCUACCAAGGCGACGAUCGCUAGCUGGUCUGAGAGGAUGAUCAGCCACACUGGGACUGAGACACGGCCCAGACUCCUACGGGAGGCAGCAGUGGGGAAUAUUGGACAAUGGGCGCAAGCCUGAUCCAGCAAUGCCGCGUGUGUGAAGAAGGCCUUCGGGUUGUAAAGCACUUUUAUCAGGAACGAAAUACCACGGGUUAAUAACCUAUGGGGCUGACGGUACCUGAGGAAUAAGCACCGGCUAACUUCGUGCCAGCAGCCGCGGUAAUACGAAGGGUGCAAGCGUUAAUCGGAAUUACUGGGCGUAAAGGGUGCGUAGGCGGUUAUUUAAGUCUGCCGUGAAAUCCCCGGGCUCAACCUGGGAAUGGCGGUGGAUACUGGAUAGCUAGAGUGUGUCAGAGGAUGGUGGAAUUCCCGGUGUA